GUAGACAUCAUAAGCAGAGAAGGAAGUGUUUAGCUCCAGCUUGCCCUUUUGGUCAUGAGAGGACUGCAUAGGGCUUGAGGUCAGCAUAAAACCAUAUCUGAACUCUUCCCUUGAGCUGAGAGAUGUUGGAUUGAAAGUAGCACCGAAGCCAUCAAUCUGUGUAAGGAGUGACAUGGUGUCAUAUGGUUACAGGAGAUAAUUUCAGAAUACUAAGGAAACAUUUCAAAGGGGAAAAAUAAACAAUCAGCUUGGGAUCCAACAGCCAGUAGAAUGCCAGCCUUUUAAAAAAAUGCUUAUUUUAUUAUUCUUGUAAACAAUCUUAAGAGUGAGUAGAUUAAGUGUACAAAAAUGAACUACUGUGUUUUUUCUUGGUGCCAUUGAAAUAUUUAAAAG
rnacentral:lncRNA from 12 species